rnacentral:misc_RNA from 1 species
GAUGAAGAACGUAGCGAAAUGCGAUAACUAAUGUGAAUUGCAGAAUUCAGUGAAUCAUCGAGUCUUUGAACGCACAUUGCGCCCCCUGGUAUUCCGGGGGGCAUGCCUGUCCGAGCGUCAUUGCUGCCCUCAAGCCCGGCUUGUGUGUUGGGUCGCCGUCCCCCUCUCCGGGGGGACGGGCCCGAAAGGCAGCGGCGGCACCGCGUCCGAUCCUCGAGCGUAUGGGGCUUUGUCACAUGCUCUGUAGGAUUGGCCGGCGCCUGCCGACGUUUUCCAACCAUUCUUUCCAGGUUGACCUCGGAUCAGGUAGGGAUACCCGCUGAACUUAAGCAUAUCAAUAAGCGGAGGA